CGUUUGGUCCAUCCGGCUGCUCGGUGUUUUUUUUUCGCAGUGACGUCACGUCGCAUCAACUUAUAGCCAUGAAUUGCUCACAUUUGGUGUAAAAAAACCAAGCCAAAAAGCCAUCUUCGGCGUUGAGCGAGAUGCCGUGCAGGUGAUAAACGUCAUGGCGGUGAGUACUUCCAAGGUUUACAGCCCACCCGGGAGCUUCCUUUACGAGGCGGGCGUCACUCCAUGAGGCACCUUGCUCCUUUGUUCUUCACCCGAUAGAGCAGACGUCGCCAUGGAAGCUCCUGGCGGAGGUUCACGCUCUCUCUCCCUAAAAACCAUCUGACCCACUUUCCCGGCAGGGAAAAUGUCGCGGUAACAUCUGAUGCAGGAACAACACCAACGCAGAAGCCGCAUGGGGAACGCUUAUCAAAACAAGACGUUUUUGUUCAAAAGUAAAUCAAGGCCAUUUUGAAUGACUCCAUGUUUGCACUGACUCAUUGGGAUUAAAAAAACAAAAAACAGGAGGGAAGAUAUGAUGGAUGCAAAUGAAGGGUGAGGAUGCUCCGAGGGACAAAAGCAGGGAAAAGAUGCUAGACAGGGAAUGUAAGGAAGGAAGGGAUUAAGGACGGGAUAAAAAGAAGGGGAGGAUUAGAUGGAAGGAAAGGAACGUCCCAAAAGAAGAUGGUGCUAUGAUAGGAAACAAGCUUUUGCAAUUCAUGUUGUCAUUUUGUCACUUCCUGCGAGUAUGCAGCAACUACAAGAAAUCGCCUUUUAAAAUGCUGUAAUGUGCAAGACGAGCCACUAGUUGGCGACACAAUGACAUGCUGAUAAAACUUGAAUACGUACAGUCGGCCAUUACUGGGUUGUUUACUGCAGGGGUGUCCAAAAUGCGGCCCACGGAUGCUUAAUUGUUUGACAUCCUUAGCAAAAAAAGUUAAAAAAAAAAUUGCAGUCAUUUUACAACAACAAAGUCAACAUAUUAACAGAAAAAAACUGUAAUCUAAACAAUUAUUAUUAUGAAAAACAACAAAACAAGAAAUAAACUUGAUUUUUUUUUUUAAAUUAGGUUGCAGAAAAAGGUGUAAAAAAAUAAUGUUAGAAAAAAGUUAAAUGAAAGUUGGAAAAUUAAAAAAAAAAAACAGCGGAAAUUUAAGAAAAUUCUUAAUUUUACAAGAAUAUACUUGUAAUAUUAUGACAAAAAAUAACAUAAUUUAGCAGCAUGAAAAUGAAUUAUUGUAGGACAAAAAAACAAAAAAUCGGUAAAAAAAAAGAAAAUUUGGUAAAUUGGGUUGUAGAAAAAGUGUAAAACAUUGAAGUCAUAAUUCUGAGGAAAUAAUUUAGAAAAGGCAAGUUUAUUUAUAGCUCACCAUUGGUACACAAGGUCAUUCAUUCAUCAUUCUAAAAUCAUAAAUCCAUAAAUCAUUCCAUGAAGCAAAGGGAAACAAAAAUAAAAAAUGGAGAACAGCUGUAAUUUUAUGAGAAUAAAGUUACAAUAUUAAUGAGAAAAAGUUGCAAUUUACAAGAAUAAACACGUAAUAUUAUGAGGAAAAAUUAUGUCACUAUAGUAGCAUAAAAUUUGAAUUUUGAAGAGAAACAUAUAUCGUAUAUUAUUAUUAUAUAUAUAUAUAAUAUAUAUUAUGAGAAACAACAAAAUCAACAGUAAUUUUACAAGAAUAAGUCAAAGUACUUUGAGAAAAAUGCUGUAGUCUAAUGAAUAAUAUUAUAAGAAACAACAAAUAAUGUGAUUUAGGGAAAACUAGCUCGCAGAAAAACUACCAAAAAAAGUCCUCAUUCUGAGAAAAAAAAUGGGCGAGAAAGUCGAACAAUUAUGUCACUAUAGUAGCAUAAAAUUCGAAUUUUGAAGACAUUUUUUGAAGCAUUUUUUAAUAUUACAUAUUGUAUAUUAUUAUAUAUAUAUUAUGAGAAACAACAAAAUCAACAGUAAUUUUACAAGAAUAAGGCAAAGUACUUUGUGAAAAAUGCUGUAAUCUAAUGAAUAAUAUUAUAAGAAACAACAAAUAACAUGAUUUAGGGAAAAGUAGCUUGCAGAAAAACUACCAAAAAAAAGAAAAAAAUGGGCGAGAAAGUCGAAAUAGUUGGAUGUAAAAAACAACAUGCAAAUAAACAUUCAUCAUUCUAAAAUCAUGAAGAACAAUUCCAUAAAUCAUUCCAUUAAGCAAAGGAAAACAAAAACAAAUAUUUAAAAAAAUGGAGAACAGCUGUAAUUUUAUGAGAACAAAGUCACAAUAUUAAUGAGAAAAAGUUGCAAUUUACAAGAAUAAACACGUAAUAUUAUGAGGAAAAAUAAUGUCACUAUAGUAGCAUAAAAUUGGAAAAUUGAAGAAAAUUUUUGAAGCAUUUUUUGAUAUUACAUAUCAUAUAUUAUUAUAUACAUAUAUUUUGAGAAACAAUACAAUCAACAGUAAUUUUACAAGAGUAAGUCAAAGUACUUUGAGAAAAAUGCUGUAAUCUAAUCAAUAAUUUUAUAAGAAACAACAAAUAACAUGAUUUAGGGAAAACUAGCUCGCAGAAAAACUACCCAAAAAAAGUCCUCAUUCUGAGAAAAAAAUGGGCGAGAAAGUCGAAAUAGUCGGAAAAUGUAAAAAAACAUCACACAUGAAAAUAAACUGUAAUUUUAUGCGAAUAAAGUCACAAUGAAGAGAAAAGCGUCGUCUUCUAACGAGAAGAAGUGAAAAUUGGGAAUGAACGAUGAAUGCUUCCAGACAGUCUUGGUUGGAUUCCUGGGUGUCUUAUCUGGAAAAUAUUCCAUUCCUAUCAAAAGAAAAAGAGAUGCGGGGGGGCAAUAUGUAUUCAUGCAUUGCUACUUUUGUUCUUUUCACCAUUUUUCCCUUCAUUAUGUUUCCCAGGCGUGAUAGCAGGACAAGUAAAGUGGAAAGUUGAGUGAAAUGAGACCCAAAAUGGUGUGAAAGUGGGGCAACGCCACAAACCUCGUAAAGACGGAAUGGCGAUACGAAAAGGACGGUGAUAACGACAAUUGGACUUGGAUCGAAUGUCGAGUCAGCGGAACGAUUUUAGAAUGAAUAAAGUCGAUUUUGGGAUUUCCAUGGUAACAUCAGGAGUGGUCGGGGUGGUAAUUGAUAUUUUUAAAAACAUUCCUUCCAUGUUUGCUGUCAGUCAAAACCUAAAUGUGUUGACAUUAAAAAAUGAUGCAGCUUUGUCAUGUGGAUAUUUCAGAAAGCAACAUAAAGCUCCAGUCUUAAAGGGCCAGUCUUAAAGGGCCAGUCUUAAAGGGCCAGCCUUAAAGCUCCAUCCUUAAAGGGCCAUCCUUAAAGGGCCAGCCUUAAAGAGCCAGCCUUAAAGCUCCAUCCUUAAAGGGCAAGCCUUAAAGGGUCAGCCUUAAAGGGCCAGCCUUAAAGGGCCAGCCUUAAAGCUCCAGCCUUAAAGGGCCAGCCUUAAAGGGCCAGCCUUAAAGGGCCAUCCUUAAAGGGCCAGCCUUAAAGCUUUAGCCUAAAAGGGCCAGCCUUAAAGGGCCAUCCUUAAAGCUCCAGCCUUAAAGCUCCAUCCUUAAAGGGCCAGCCUAAAAGGGCCAGCCUUAAAGGGCCAUCCUUAAAGCUCCACCCUUAAAGGGCCAGCCUUAAAGGGCCAGCCUUAAAGCUCCAUCCUUAAAGCUCCAGCCUUAAAGCUCCAUCCUUAAAGGGCCAGCCUUAAAGCUCCAGCCGUAAAGGGCCAUCCUUAAAGGGCCAGCCUUAAAGGGCCAGCCCUAAAGCUCCAGUCUUAAAGGGCCAGCCUUAAAGCUCCAGCCUUAAAGGGCCAGUCUUAAAGGGCCAGUCUUAAAGGGCCAGCCUUAAAGCUCCAUCCUUAAAGGGCCAGCCUUAAAGGGACAGCCUUAAAGGGCUAGCCUUAAAGCUCCAGCCUUAAAGGGCCAGCCUUAAAGGGCCAGCCUUAAAGGGCCAUCCUUAAAGCUCCACCCUUAAAGGGCCAUCCUUAAAACUCCAUCCUUAAAGUUCCAUCCUUAAAGGGCCAGCCUUAAAGGGCCAGCCUUAAAGGGCCAGCCUAAAAGGGCCAGCCUUAAAGGGCCAUCCUUAAAGGGCCAUCCUUAAAGGGCCAUCCUUAAAGGGCCAGCCUUAAAGCUCCAUCCUUAAAGCUCCAUCCUUAA